rnacentral:misc_RNA from 1 species
UCUUAAUGUUGUUCCUAUGUACAUAGUUUGCAAUUCAUCUGAUUUAGCCUCAGAGUGUGUAAACCCUUAUGAUUCCCGCAAUGUUCCAGAAAGAGUUCUGCUUUAUGAUCCACACCCUGGAGGGACUGGCAUUUCAGCACAGAUGCAGCAUAUAUUCAGUGAGCUGCUGACUGCUGCUUUGGAACUUCUUGCAUCAUGUUGUUGCUCUGGUGAUACCGGCUGUCCUAACUGUGUACAAAAUAUUUCCUGUCACGAGUACAAUGAGGUUUUGCACAAGGAUGCUGCCAUAAUGAUGAUCAAGGGUGUAAUAGAGGAAGAAGAAUCCUACUUCAAGAGUAUAUCAGAGUUGUCUUAGGUGUUUGAAGUGGAGCUUUGCUUUCCUUGCUCUCUGUUUACAGUAUACCGCCCUAAUUCCAAUAUUAGGGAUGGCUGCUGGUAGACAGUAUGUUUAAAUGUCAAUUCUACAUAAUUUAAGAUUUCAAGUUUGUGUCAUCAGCGAGUAGUAGCCAACAACUAGGCAACACUAAAGUGGACCUUAUUCAUUAUUUAGAUUUUGUAG